rnacentral:rRNA from 1 species
GAUGAACGCUAGCGGCAGGCUUAACACAUGCAAGUCGAGGGGUAUAGAAAGCUUGCUUUCUAGAGACCGGCAAACGGGUGCGGAACACGUACACAACCUACCUUUAUCAGGGGGAUAGCCUUCGGAAACGGAGAUUAAUACCCCAUAGUAUUAUGGAGUGGCAUCACUUUAUAAUUAAAGAAUUUCGGAUAGAGAUGGGUGUGCGGAAGAUUAGCUAGUUGGUGAGGUAAAUGCUUACCAAGGCAACGAUCUUUAGCUGAUGUGAGAGCAUGAUCAGCCACACGGGCACUGAGACACGGGCCCGACUCCUACGGGAGGCAGCAGUGAGGAAUAUUGGUCAAUGGACGGAAGUCUGAACCAGCCAUGCCGCGUGAAGGAUGAAGGCGUUCUGCGUUGUAAACUUCUUUUAUUUAGGAAGAAACCACUUUUUUUUAAGAGUGUUGACGGUAUUAAGUGAAUAAGCACCGGCUAACUCCGUGCCAGCCGCCGCAGUAAAAC